GGCCAGCAGCCGCUGGCGGCCGCGCUCCGCCUCGGACUCGAGCGCGUCGAAGACAGCGGCGCCCACCAGCAGAAAGCCUGGUCUGAGAGAUUCUGCCCAGAGACUACACUUCCCAGCCUCCUUUGCGUCCUAGCACGACCACGUGACUCGUCCCCACCAAUGGGGUGAGAGUGGGAGUGGGCGUGGUGAGUGUCAUCUCCAGGCGGGGCCUUUAGGGAGAAGGUGAGGGGCUCCGUCCCUGCCUGCGAGCUGGCUGCAGGAGGCCCUCAGGCCCAGGAGCUCCGCGGAGCCACAACCUGUAAGCCUCCUGGCUCACCGCAGGAAGGAACUCCAGCCAGAAACCACCUGCCUUGGAACAUCGUAAAGGGGUAUGCCCCUUGUCCUGAGAGAUUCUGCCGGUAGAGAUUUGGGGUUCCUGCCAGAAGUGACCAUGUGCCCCUCGUACUGCCUACACGCAGGGAAAACCACUCCAUGCCCCGUCCUUGCGAGGACCACUGGUUUUAAAAACAACGAAAGUGAUUACGUAAAGGGCACGCACAGGAAGCCAGCUCUGUGAUCGAGGGGAACGUGCUAGUGUGAAGUGUACAUCUCGACAACUCUUCACAUACGUGCACACCCAUGUCACCAGCACCCAGAGCAAGAUACGUUUCCAGAAGGUUCCUCAUGCCCCUUCCAGGUACUCACUCUUCUGACAUCUGUCACCAUUGAUCAGUUUUUCCUGGAACCACUUCUCCAUCUGAGGCAAGAAGGAAGACAGGAGAAUUUUGGUGUGGGGAGGAGCUGGCCAGAGGCACACUGCUCACGGCGGCAUCGGAGGGAGAGCCUCUGCCGACAGCCCGGAGGUCACUGAUUUGCUCCCAGAAGGUUUUCUGUUCUGCGCAGCUGAACCUUACUUGGGCCCUCAGAUACCGAGCUGCUCCAGGUCUUCCGCGAGGUCACCUCCCUCAGGAAGGUCCACAGGACGGGCCCAGUGAACGGCCACGGCUUGCCCAGUCUGGGCUCCUGCCCCGGAGCACGAGGCUCCAUCUCGCCAAGACUGGCCACCUCCACGCUGUCCUUGCUGAUGGCCGCGUUGGGAGAAGCUGCUGGAGUGACGGCCUGUGCCUGUGGCACUGGUCUGCAAAUACCCAGCCCCCCAGGGCCUCCGCACAGCCUCUUCUUCCACACAUCGCCCAGGCUGGGCAGGAGUUUGGGGGUCUGCUCCUGACCCUGAGAUCCCAGGUGCUGUGAUGAGCUCCUUCUCCCACCACUAGGACAGCUGUGGGCCUUGAACAGUUUAACACUUGCCUUCCGUCUGUGCUGGCAAGGUUCUGCCUGCAGGGACCGACAUGGUCCUCCCCCAAAGGGGGUUUGAAAUGUGGAGCUCUCAGCACAUGCAUGUGAUCGCCUCUGCACACGGCUUCCCAUAGUACGGCGCACUGGGGGGCCUGGCAACGAGCUGGUCCUCACUUGCUGGGUGAGGGGGCUGGCCCAGGGGCUGUGCCAAGGGUGCAGCUGGUGAAGCAUUGAUAAGCCUGCUGGGGAGCGGGGAGGAAGUCACAAUGGGGCAUGGAGAGGGCUUUGGAAAUUGGCACGAGGGUUUAUUGACAGACUUGGUAUGCCGAGGAGAAGGCGCUGAACCUGGCACACAUUAGGUGCUAGACAUGUCUUUGGUGCAUGCGUGCAUGCAUGCAUGAAUGAACUGGGGGCCCAAAGCUCUAAUCCCAGCUCUAUAGCUGUACAUUCUUGUGCAAGUUCCUUGGCCUCGUUUGGCCUCAGUUUCCUCAUCUGUUAAAUGGGAGAGGGGCAACUCCAUAUUUUCUAGGACCUCUUGGCUCUAGGAAUCUGUUUCUAUGCCCAGAAGCAUGGAGUGGCAGCUCUGACCCAGGGGGAAGCAUGGAGGGAGGGCUCUCAGGAAUACAGAGUUCCAGAACGUCAGGAGGUACAGGUGGUUCCUAUAGAUUCAUUGAUGUCCGACUAAUUACCAGAGUUCAGAAGACCCCACAGAGUUGGACUGAGUGUCAGGGCAGAGGUAGCUUUGCUCUUGGCCAGACGUCUCUUGGAGGAGGCAGAUAAUGAGUUAGGUUACUCCCUCCCCAUCCAAGAGCCCCUCCAUCAGUGGGGAUAUCCAGUCUCUAGGGACUUACCGCUCACUGUCUGAGUGCCUACAGGUGCCAUUACCUGUCCGUGUCCAUACCCAAUCCAUCCAUCCAUCCAUCUUUUCAUCAAUCCAUCUAUCUGUUCAUCCAUUGAUCCAUUUGUCCAUUCAUCCAUU